rnacentral:rRNA from 1 species
UACGUAGGGGGCAAGCGUUAUCCGGAUUCAUUGGGUUUAAAGGGAGCGUAGGUGGCCUUAUAAGUCAGUGGUGAAAUCCUGUUGCUUAACAACAGAAUUGCCAUUGAUACUGUAGGGCUUGAGUACAGAUGCCGUUGGCGGAAUAUGACAUGUAGUGGUGAAAUACAUAGAGAUGUCAUAGAACACCGAUUGCGAAGGCAGCUGACGAAACUGUAACUGACACUGAGGCUCGAAAGUGCGGGGAUCAAACAGG